rnacentral:rRNA from 1 species
AUUGAACGCUGGCGGCAGGCCUAACACAUGCAAGUCGAGCGGAGGAAGGGAGCUUGCUCCUGGAUUCAGCGGCGGACGGGUGAGUAAUGCCUAGGAAUCUGCCUGGUAGUGGGGGAUAACGUCCGGAAACGGGCGCUAAUACCGCAUACGUCCUGAGGGAGAAAGUGGGGGAUCUUCGGACCUCACGCUAUCAGAUGAGCCUAGGUCGGAUUAGCUAGUUGGUGGGGUAAAGGCCUACCAAGGCGACGAUCCGUAACUGGUCUGAGAGGAUGAUCAGUCACACUGGAACUGAGACACGGUCCAGACUCCUACGGGAGGCAGCAGUGGGGAAUAUUGGACAAUGGGCGAAAGCCUGAUCCAGCCAUGCCGCGUGUGUGAAGAAGGUCUUCGGAUUGUAAAGCACUUUAAGUUGGGAGGGAGGGCAGUAAGUUAAUACCUUGCUGUUUUGACGUUACCAACAGAAUAAGCACCGGCUAACUUCGUG